CCUACGGGCGGCAGCAGUGAGGAAUAUUGGUCAAUGGACGAGAGUCUGAACCAGCCAAGUCGCGUGAAGGAUGACUGCCCUAUGGGUUGUAAACUUCUUUUAUAUGGGAAUAAAACAGGGUAUGCCUACCCUCUUGUAUGUACCAUAUGAAUAAGGAUCGGCUAACUACGUGCCAGUAUCAGCGGUAAUACGGAGGAUCCGAGCGUUAUCCGGAUUUAUUGGGUUGAAAGGGAGCGUAGGUGGAUUGUUAAGUCAGUUGUGAAAGUUUGCGGCUCAACCGUAAAAUUGCAGUUGAAUGUGGCAGUCUUGAGUACAGUAGAGGUGGGCGGAAUUCGUGGUGUAGCGGUGAAAUGCUUAGAUAUCACGAAGAACUCCGAUGGCGAAGGCAGCCCACUGGACUGCAACUGACACUGAUGCUCGAAAGUGUGGGUAUCAAACAGGAUUAGAUACCCUGGUAGUC
rnacentral:rRNA from 1 species